rnacentral:rRNA from 1 species
GGGUUGUGAGGUUAAGCGACUAAGCGUACACGGUGGAUGCCCUGGCAGUCAGAGGCGAUGAAGGGCGUGCUAAUCUGCGAUAAGCGCCGGUAAGGUGAUAUGAACCGUUAUAACCGGCGAUACCCGAAUGGGGAAACCCAGUGUGAUUCGUCACACUAUCAUUAACUGAAUCCAUAGGUUAAUGAGGCGAACCGGGGGAACUGAAACAUCUAAGUACCCCGAGGAAAAGAAAUCAACCGAGAUUCCCCCAGUAGCGGCGAGCGAACGGGGAGGAGCCCAGAGCCUGAAUCAGCAUGUGUGUUAGUGGAAGCGUCUGGAAAGGCGCGCGAUACAGGGUGACAGCCCCGUACACAAAAGCGCAUAUGCUGUGAGCUCGAUGAGUAGGGCGGGACACGUGGUAUCCUGUCUGAAUAUGGGGGGACCAUCCUCCAAGGCUAAAUACUCCUGACUGACCGAUAGUGAACCAGUACCGUGAGGGAAAGGCGAAAAGAACCCCGGCGAGGGGAGUGAAAAAGAACCUGAAACCGUGUACGUACAAGCAGUGGGAGCCCCACCACUAAGCCAGUGGUGAACUCCACAUACGCAUCCUUUGCUGAGGAGACGGUUAACGGAGCGAAAGCGACGUUCAACCUCAAAAGAAGCAGAGGGGGCUUAGUGGUGGGGUGACUGCGUACCUUUUGUAUAAUGGGUCAGCGACUUAUAUUCUGUAGCAAGGUUAACUGUAUAGGGGAGCCGGAGGGAAACCGAGUCUUAACCGGGCGUUAAGUUGCAGGGUAUAGACCCGAAACCCGGUGAUCUAGCCAUGGGCAGGUUGAAGGUUGGGUAACACUAACUGGAGGACCGAACCGACUAAUGUUGAAAAAUUAGCGGAUGACCUGUGGCUGGGGGUGAAAGGCCAAUCAAACCGGGAGAUAGCUGGUUCUCCCCGAAAGCUAUUUAGGUAGCGCCUCGUGAAUUCAUCUCCGGGGGUAGAGCACUGUUUCGGCUAGGGGGCCAUCCCGGCUUACCAACCCGAUGCAAACUGCGAAUACCGGAGAAUGUUAUCACGGGAGACACACGGCGGGUGCUAAUGUCCGUCGUGAAGAGGGAAACAACCCAGACCGCCAGCUAAGGUCCCAAAGUCAUGGUUAAGUGGGAAACGAUGUGGGAAGGCCCAGACAGCCAGGAUGUUGGCUUAGAAGCAGCCAUCAUUUAAAGAAAGCGUAAUAGCUCACUGGUCGAGUCGGCCUGCGCGGAAGAUGUAACGGGGCUAAACCAUGCACCGAAGCUGCGGCAGCGACACCGUGUGUUGUUGGGUAGGGGAGCGUUCUGUAAGCCUGUGAAGGUGUGCUGUGAGGCAUGCUGGAGGUAUCAGAAGUGCGAAUGCUGACAUAAGUAACGAUAAAGCGGGUGAAAAGCCCGCUCGCCGGAAGACCAAGGGUUCCUGUCCAACGUUAAUCGGGGCAGGGUGAGUCGACCCCUAAGGCGAGGCCGAAAGGCGUAGUCGAUGGGAAACGGGUUAAUAUUCCCGUACUUGGUGUUACUGCGAAGGGGGGACGGAGAAGGCUAUGUUGGCCGGGCGACGGUUGUCCCGGUUUAAGCGUGUAGGUAUGUGUUCCAGGUAAAUCCGGUUCACUUUAACACUGAGGCGUGACGACGAGGCACUACGGUGCUGAAGCAACAAAUGCCCUGCUUCCAGGAAAAGCCUCUAAGCAUCAGGUAACAUCAAAUCGUACCCCAAACCGACACAGGUGGUCAGGUAGAGAAUACCAAGGCGCUUGAGAGAACUCGGGUGAAGGAACUAGGCAAAAUGGUGCCGUAACUUCGGGAGAAGGCACGCUGACACGUAGGUGAAGUGAUUUACUCACGGAGCUGAAGUCAGCCGAAGAUACCAGCUGGCUGCAACUGUUUAUUAAAAACACAGCACUGUGCAAACACGAAAGUGGACGUAUACGGUGUGACGCCUGCCCGGUGCCGGAAGGUUAAUUGAUGGGGUCAGCGCAAGCGAAGCUCCUGAUCGAAGCCCCGGUAAACGGCGGCCGUAACUAUAACGGUCCUAAGGUAGCGAAAUUCCUUGUCGGGUAAGUUCCGACCUGCACGAAUGGCGUAAUGAUGGCCAGGCUGUCUCCACCCGAGACUCAGUGAAAUUGAACUCGCUGUGAAGAUGCAGUGUACCCGCGGCAAGACGGAAAGACCCCGUGAACCUUUACUA